rnacentral:rRNA from 1 species
GGUGCCAGCAGCGCGGUAAUUCCAGCUCCAAUAGCGUAUAUUAAAGUUGCUGUCAGUUAAAAAGCUCGUAGUUGAAUUUCGGGACUAAUAUGUUGGUCGUGCCUCGGUACGUACUGAUAUUUUUGGUUUCUCCCUUCUGACGAACCUUGAUGUCAUUAAUUUGGUGUCUUGGGAAAUCAGGACUGUUACUUUGAAAAAAUUAGAGCGUUUAAAGCAGGCUCACGCUUGAAUACAUUAGCAUGGAAUAAUGAAAUAGGACGUUUGAUUCUAUUUUGUUAGGGUUUCUAGGAUCGACGUAAUGAUUAAUAGGGAUAGUUGGGGGCAUUAGUAUUCAAUUGUCAGAGGUGAAAUUCUUGGAUUUAUUGAAGACUAACUACUGCGAAAGCAUUUGCCAAGGAUGUUUUCAUUAAUCAAGAACGAAAGUUAGGGGGAUCGAAGACGAUCAGAUACCGUCGUAGUCUUAACCAUAAACUAUGCCGACUAGGGAUCGGAUGAUGUUAAUUUUUUAAUGACUCAUUCGGCGCCUUACG